UCCUUAGUAGCUUAAUUUGGUAAAGCAAUCGAUUGUUAAUCGGUUUAUUGUUGGUUCGACCCCAACUUGAGGAG
rfam:Theileria equi strain WA gcontig_1105316255047 apicoplast, whole genome shotgun sequence.